rnacentral:lncRNA from 1 species
UGCCUGACGAGCCUCUCAAUUUAUCGCAGAGCUGUAGGCAAUCUUUAGUACCAUGAUCAUGGUCAUGAUGAUAGAGGCAAUAUUUAUUCAGAUCGCAGCGGUGCUCUGACUUCAUCCGCAUCUGUAGAGGCUGGGGCAACUCGACCCAGAUUUUCAUUAACACCUCCCCCCAAGAAAUAGUUAAGAGUGUGUAAUUAUUAUAAUGCCCAAGGGGUGAAGGUCAUCG